AGGUACCGUCACAUUAUGGCCAUUUCCUACCAUAACUGUUCUUCCCUUAUAACAGAGCUUUACAAUCCGAAGACCUUCAUCACUCACGCGGCAUUGCUCCAUCAGGCUUUCGCCCAUUGUGGAAUAUUCCCUA
rnacentral:rRNA from 1 species